rnacentral:rRNA from 1 species
UACAGAGGGGGCAAGCGUUAUUCGGAAUUAUUGGGCGUAAAGGGCGCGUAGGCGGUCGUGCAAGUGGAAGGUGAAAUCCCUCGGCUCAACCGAGGAACUGCCUUUCAAACUGCAUGACUUGAGUCCGGGAGAGGUGAGUGGAAUUCCCAGUGUGGCGGUGAAAUGCGUAGAUAUUGGGAGGAACACCAGUGGCGAAGGCGGCUCACUGGACCGGAACUGACGCUGAGGCGCGAAAGCGUGGGGAGCAAACGGGG